UUCCACCCUGUAUCUCUAAAACUAAGCAGUAUUGAAGGGCCCCCGGGGGUGACAUGCUUUAGAAAAACAUCAAUUGCAGAUUGCUGUAUGAAGGAACGGCAGAUGCUGGUUUAAACCGAAAAUAGACACAAAAUGCUGGAGGAACUCAGCGGGACAGGCAGCAUCCCGGAAGAGAAAGAAUGGGUGAUGUUUCAGGUCAAGGAAGAUUCUGAAGAAGGGUCUCGACCCGAAAUGUCACCCACUCCUUCUCUCCAGAUAUGCUGCCUGUCCCGCUGAGUUACUCCAGCUUUUUGUGUUUAAUCACAAACUCCUUGGUGUCUAGGAGUCCUAGAGCAUUAUCCACCCUAUUCAAAUAUUUCUCUCACAUUCAACCUCCUUAAAACGAUUAUGUCGUUAAACGUGACGAAUGCCUGCAACUUUUCUGUCAUGUUUACAACUGUACCACAGUGACUAGGCAUCGGAAAUAAUUAAAUGGCUGGAAAGUGCCUUGAGGUAUCCUGAUGUUUAUAACAAAAUGGCAAAAUGUAGGUAAUUUCUAAAUUGUGUGGAAUGAGAGACAUUAGCACGAAGGCCCUGAGAGUCCCCACUGUAUCUCUCAACUAAAUGAAUACCAUAGUCUAGAUUUGAUUAUGAACCUUCAACACUAAAUCAAGGGUAUUUCAGGAUAUAACUUGUAGAAUUAUAAAUGACUAAGUCAAGGUCAGAGCAAAAUAGGGCAUCACAGAGUGGCACAGUGGCGCUGCUGCUAGAGCUGCUGCCUCACAGUGCCAGUGACCCGGGUUCAAUCCUGACCUUGGAUUCUGUCUGUACGGAGUUUGUACAUUCUCCUUGUGACCGUGUGGGUUUUCUCCUGGUGCUCCGGUUUCCUCCCACAUCCUAAAGACGUGCAGGUUUGUGGUUAAAUGGCCUCUGUAAAUGGACCUAAUGUGUAGUGAGCUGAUGCGAAAGUGGGAUAACAUAGAACUAGUGUGAACGGGUGAUCGAUGGCCAACAUGGACCCGGUGGGUCAAAGGCCCUGUGAGACCCCACUGUAUCUCUAAACUAAAUGAAACUGAACUAAACAGAAUUCUCAAGCUAGUUGUCUACAGACUCCAGCCUGUGAAUCAUAUUUCUAGGCUGGUGUUAUGAGCUUUUGUGUCCAACAAUCUCUAUAAUACCGACAGCACAAAUUAAAAUCUUUUGAACAGCUCAUCCACCUAUUGCUUGGGGCCGUAGGAGAGGCAAACCUGUUGGUUUACAAUCUUUCUUGACGCGGGAAAGUCUUUGUGUGGCAAACUGGUGCAUUACUUACUUGACCGAUAUGGAGAAAUCACCAGAAUUUGACUGGGAGGCAUGGUGGUGCAGCGUUGGAGCUACUGCCUUACAGCGGCAGAGACCCGGGUUCGAUCCUGACAAUGGAUGCUUGUCUGUACGGAAUUUGUACGUUCUCCCCAUAACCUGCAUGGGUUUUCUCCGAGAUCUUCGCAUUCCUCCCACACUCCAAAGACAAAAAGGAAGUCUUCAGUGUAGUUGUGGCAUUGAAUCUGAUAAAUGUGAAUGGUAAUUCACGAAUCCCACAGAACAACAUGUGACAGGCAAAACAAUUAACCUGGAGUUUUCAACAAGAUGCAGCUUUGAAAUAUACAGAGGUGGGUGAUGUUGAAGCAAUUGAGAAGAAGAUGGUGCAGUUUUGAAAUUGGAGCUAGGUUUUGUUUGGUGUAGGGUGCUUGGAAUAAAUUAUUUGCAUAAAGUGAAGAUCUAUACUCCCUAGGUGAGGUCUGCAGCAUGAUUUUACUGAGACGUGCAAAACACAACGAAUUUUACUGUAUCUAGGUACAUGUGCCAAUAAAUUAUCAUUAAUUCAUUCAUUGAAAUGUCUUAGAGAGGGAGGUGGGGAUGGAUCAAUUGGUAGUUUUAAAACCGAGAUCUAUUUGUGGGAUGGACAAGGGACUUACUGAUAUGGAACAAGCAAAGUGAAUGGACAGGCCAACCAUGCUUUUGUUAAAUGGCGCUUGAAGGCUCGAAGGCUUGAAGGUUUCAAUCUGUUACUUAAGAAUGCACCUCGGUUUAAACCAGCAUCUGCCGUUCCUUCCUACACUUAAGAAAGCACGUCGUGCUAAAGAUGAACCGGAGAGUGAAUGGGAGAAUGCAGUGCUGUUUGAAACAGUGCUCGAGAUGGAUGCUGCGUU